UUGCUCUUCAACGAGGAAUCCCUAGUAAGCGCAAGUCAUCAACUUGCGUUGAUUACGUCCCUGCCCUUUGUACACACCGCCCGUCGCUACUACCGAUUGAAUGGCUCAGUGAGGCUUCCGGACUGGCCCAGAGGAGUCGGCAACGACACCUCAGGGCCGGAAAGCUAUCCAAACUCGGUCAUUUAGAGGAAGUAAAAGUCGUAACAAGGUCUCCGUUGGUGAACCAGCGGAGGGAUCAUUACAGAGUUACUAAACUCCCAAACCCAUGUGAACUUACCUAUGUUGCCUCGGCGGACGCCUACCCUGUAGCUACCCUGUAGUUACCCGGUAGCGGCCGCCGGCGGACCUUCAAACUCUUGUUUUAAUAUGGCUAUUCUGAGUAAUUACUAUAAUAAGUUAAAACUUUCAACAACGGAUCUCUUGGUUCUGGCAUCGAUGAAGAACGCAGCGAAAUGCGAUAAGUAAUGUGAAUUGCAGAAUUCAGUGAAUCAUCGAAUCUUUGAACGCACAUUGCGCCCACUAGUAUUCUGGUGGGCAUGCCUGUUCGAGCGUCAUUACGACCCUUAAGCCUCAGUUGCUUAGUGUUGGGGGCUCGCCGUAAUUGGCGACCCCUUAAAGACAUCGGCGGAGUCGAGAUGGAACUCUGAGCGUAGUAAAUCUUUUCUCGCUUUUGAAGUCCUCACGGCCCUAGCCGCUAAACCUUAUGACCUAGUCAUCUAGUGGUUGACCUCGGAUCAGGUAGGAAUACCCGCUGAACUUAAGCAUAUCAAUAAGCGGAGGA
rnacentral:rRNA from 1 species